UACGGAGGGUGCAAACGUUGCUCGGAAUCAUUGGGCGUAAAGCGCACGUAGGCGGCCUGUUAAGUCGGAUGUGAAAGCCCCGGGCUCAACCCGGGAAGUGCAUUCGAAACUGGCGGGCUUGAAUAUGGAAGAGGGUCGCGGAAUUCCCGGUGUAGAGGUGAAAUUCGUAGAUAUCGGGAGGAACACCAGUGGCGAAGGCGGUUGCCUGGAGCUUUGCUGACGCUGAGGCGCGAAAGCGUGGGGAGCGAUCCGG
rnacentral:rRNA from 1 species